rnacentral:misc_RNA from 1 species
GAAAUUCAUGAAGACUUAUAAUUUAUAACCAAGGAAUGAUAAUGAAACCAGAUUAUGUUAAAAAAUUAAGUUAAUGACACAAGAACUCUUACUGAUUCUGUUGUUUUAGAAUGCUGUUAUAUUUUUACUGUUCUUUUCAUGAAAUGAUGGUGAAAUGAUAAUGAUUAUGAGUACUUGUAUUUAUGUCAUAAGAUAAGCAACAUUGAACAUUUUAUGAGUACCGACUACUGGUAACACAUGCAAUGAUAGCAUGACACAUCAAAACGGAGAAACUGAUGGAAAAUGCUUGAAUAGUCAUGGAUAUAUCUUAUGAACAAUCUAAGAUAAAGACAUUGUGAUGUUUAUUUUGAAUGCAUUUACAGUAUAAUUGAGCCUAGUGUGUUUGUUGAAUAUGGUGAAAUUCAGUAUUUUUCCGAAUAUCCAAAACAUAAAAUAUUUAAAACAAGUAGAAUCUUUUUCCUACUUAAGAUACCUGCACAAGAAAAUGACUGAAUUUGUAAUUGCCUUGUUCACCGUUGUUGUGUUUGAUUUUGAACAGCAACACAGCUGGCUGGGUGUCACUGAUGAUGUAAGAUGACUUUAUGCACAACUUAUUAUCAUACUGCUAUCUAUUGUUGUCUUCAGUAAUACAGUGUAUGCUUACAGCUCAUGUUGAACACAAGAGUUUUACAGACCAUGUUGAACACAAAUGAUUUUCUGCAUUGGUAUUUUAGCUUAGCUCUGACUUGUAAUUACAUGUAUUUCACUGGCAUUAAUGCUAUUGUGUAUGAAAUUUAAAUUGGGGAGGGGGGGUAUUUUUCCAAUGUUAUGAAUGCAUACAUGUUAUUUGAUGAUAAAAAGUUCA